UCAUCUUAUAAAACGUAAUACAAGAUCUACGAUAAGAUUAAGACAGAUUACUUACAUCAAUUCGCUUUCCAAAUUGCUCAAGUCCAGGUGACAAAUCCUUAAUCACCUAAAACAACAUCAUAGGGAUUACAUUAUUCCCCAUUUAUUUAUUAUAAAAUUUCUUAGUUCAUCAUAUUAUGAACUUACUUGCUUGGAUCCCAUCCAAGGAUCUAGCCAAGUCCAAUUUACCCAAUUUAGAGCCUUUGGGGCUCAGUUUAAAACCAGAUUGGGUUCACAUAGGUUAAUUGGGUUUUAAUUAAAGGAUUGGGCCUGAUUCACAACCAAUUAGGUCUGCUGAGACCAACUCAGCUUAAUUGGGUUCGGACCCAUUUCAAUUUAACUUAAAUUAGCUCGGAUUUAACCCAAUUUAUAGUUUGGGCUCGUCCAGACUUAGCCCAAUCUGAUUGAGCUCGGAUUUAGACUUAGCCCAAUCUAAUUGGGCUUGGAUAGUCAAAUUUGGCUAAACCCAUUUCAUUUCUUUUUUUUUUCCUUUCUUCUCUUUUCCUUCUUUUUCUUUUCUUUUUCUUUUUUUU
rnacentral:lncRNA from 1 species